rnacentral:lncRNA from 1 species
CUCAAGCGGCGCUCGCGCACACAGGCGUGCGCGAGGGACUGACGCAUACCUGUUCCUGCGCGAAGGGGGGCGGGGCGCGUGGACGGCCCUUCGCGGUCGCGGUUAGGAGCAGCCGUUCGUUAAAGGGCAAGAUAGUUUCUGCGCGGCUGUCGAGACGAGGGCAGGGCUUUGCAUGAUGGCUUAAAAAAACCAGAUGAGCUGAGCUUUACUAAGACAUGUGGAAUACUCACGUUUCUUAUACAAGAAUGGGAGUGUACAAGUGGGACCUGCAGUGGACUUUUGCAAUGCACCCUUGCCUUCUGGGAGGAGUGUUCCUGUUCCAAGUUCCUGUCAGCCAGUGAAGUUGUACUCAAUGAAUUUAUUA